UACGAAGGGGGCUAGCGUUGCUCGGAAUCACUGAGGCAGGUAAGGUGCGUAGCGGGUCUUUAAUCAGGGGUGAAAUCCUGGAGCUCAACUCCAGAACUGCCUUUGAUACUGAAGAUCUUGAGUUCGGGAGAGGUGAGUGGAACUGCGAGUGUAGAGGUGAAAUUCGUAGAUAUUCGCAAGAACACCAGUGGCGAAGGCGGCUCACUGGCCCGAUACUGACGCUGAGGCACGAAAGCGUGGGGAGCAAACAGG
rnacentral:rRNA from 1 species